AUCUCCUUCUCACUAAGGUUCAGUAAUUGGAUAUAAAGUUUAUGAUCUAAAAUAAUUCAUGUAUUCAUUGUAUUGCAUAUAUCCUUUCGUAUAUAUCUUUCUGUCCCUGUACAUA